AUUCCAGCUCCAAUAGUGUAUAUUAAAGUUGUUGCAGUUAAAAAGCUCGUAGUUGGAUUUCUGGCGGGAGCGAUCGGUCCUUCACUCAGUGUUGGAACCUGAUUGUCUCCUGCCAUCCAUGGAGAAAACUUAUCUGGCAUUAAGUUGUCGGGUAGGCAAUCUCCAUCUUUUACUGUGAAAAAAUUAGAGUGUUCAAAGCAGGCUUAUGCCGUUGAAUAUAUUAGCAUGGAAUAAUAAGAUAGGACUAUGGUACUAUUUUGUUGGUUUUCGGAAAUCGACUUAAUGAUUAAUAGGGACAGUCGGGGGCAUUUGUAUUCAAACGACAGAGGUGAAAUUCUUGGACCGUUUGAAGACAAACUACUGCGAAAGCAUUUGCCAAGAAUGUUUUCAUUG
rnacentral:rRNA from 1 species